rnacentral:rRNA from 1 species
GAUUCCCAGUCCACUUCGGUGGCGCGCGCACAGGUGCUGCAUGGCUGUCGUCAGCUCGUGUCGUGAGAUGUUGGGUUAAGUCCCGCAACGAGCGCAACCCACGUCCUUAGUUGCCAUCAUUCAGUUGGGCCCUCUAGGGAGACUCCCGGUGAUAAGCCGCGACGGAAGGUGUGGAUGCCGUCAAGUCCUCAUGCCCCUUCCCGGAUGGGCUCCACACCUGCUACAAUGGCGGUGACAGUGCGAAGGGAACGGGGCGACUUGGAGCAAAUCCCCAAAAGCCGCUUCAGGGGCGGAUUGCACCUCUGCAACUGCGGGUGCAUGAAGGCGGAAUCGCUAG